CACGUAGGGGGCGAGCGUUGUUCGGAAUUACUGGGCGUAAAGGGCAUGUAGGCGGCCUUGUAAGCCUGGCGUGAAAGUCACCGGCUCAACCGGUGGAUUGCGUCGGGAACUGCAGGGCUUGAGUCACGGAGGGGAAGGUAGAAUUCCUGGUGUAGGGGUGAAAUCUGUAGAGAUCAGGAAGAAUACCAGUGGCGAAGGCGACCUUCUGGCCGAUGACUGACGCUGAGGUGCGAAAGUGUGGGGAUCAAACAGG
rnacentral:rRNA from 1 species